rnacentral:rRNA from 1 species
UCCUAGCUGUAAACGCUGCGGGCUUGGUGUUGGGGGUCCUACGAGGGCAUCCAGUGCCGGAGAGAAGUUGUUAAGCCCGCUACCUGGGGAGUACGGCCGCAAGGCUGAAACUUAAAGGAAUUGGCGGGGGAGCACCGCAACGGGAGGAGCGUGCGGUUUAAUUGGAUUCAACGCCGGAAAACUCACCAGGGGCGACUGCCACAUGAAGGUCAAGCUGAUGACUUUACCCGAUU